rnacentral:rRNA from 1 species
UUUAACGGAGAGUUUGAUUCUGGCUCAGAACGAACGCUGGCGGCGUGGAUAAGACAUGCAAGUCGAACGAGAUUUUCCGUUGUAGCAAUACGAUGGAAAAUUUAGUGGCGAACGGGUGCUUAACACGUGGGCAACCUGCCAUGAAGUGGGGGAUAGCUCGCCGAAAGGCGAAUUAAUACCGCAUGUGAUUAGAGAGGACAUCUUUUCGAAAUUAAAGUCGGGGCAACCUGACGCUUCUUGUGGGGCCCGCGGCCUAUCAGCUAGUUGGUGAGGUAAUGGCUCACCAAGGCUUUGACGGGUAGCUGGUCUGAGAGGACGACCAGCCACACUGGGACUGAGACACGGCCCAGACACCUACGGGUGGCAGCAGUCGAGAAUUUUUGACAAUGGGGGAAACCCUGAUCGAGCGACGCCGCGUGGAGGAUGAAGGUCUUCGGAUUGUAAACUCCUGUCAUUGGGGAACAAGGUGCAUACGUUAACUGCGUGUGCAUUGAUAGUACCCGAAGAGGAAGAGACGGCUAACUCUGUGCCAGCAGCCGCGGUAAUACAGAGGUCUCAAGCGUUGUUCGGAUUCAUUGGGCGUAAAGGGUGCG